rnacentral:rRNA from 1 species
UACGUAGGUGGCAAGCGUUGUCCGGAAUUAUUGGGCGUAAAGCGCGCGCAGGCGGCCUCUUAAGUCUGAUGUGAAAGCCCCCGGCCCAACCGGGGAGGGCCAUUGGAAACUGGGAGGCUUGAGUAUAGGAGAGAAGAGUGGAAUUCCACGUGUAGCGGUGAAAUGCGUAGAGAUGUGGAGGAACACCAGUGGCGAAGGCGACUCUUUGGCCUAUAACUGACGCUGAGGCGCGAAAGCGUGGGGAGCAAACAGG